AAAUUGAAGAGUUUGAUCAUGGCUCAGAUUGAACGCUGGCGGCAGGCCUAACACAUGCAAGUCGAGCGGUAGCACAGAGAGCUUGCUCUCGGGUGACGAGCGGCGGACGGGUGAGUAAUGUCUGGGAAACUGCCUGAUGGAGGGGGAUAACUACUGGAAACGGUAGCUAAUACCGCAUAACGUCGCAAGACCAAAGUGGGGGACCUUCGGGCCUCAUGCCAUCAGAUGUGCCCAGAUGGGAUUAGCUGGUAGGUGGGGUAACGGCUCACCUAGGCGACGAUCCCUAGCUGGUCUGAGAGGAUGACCAGCCACACUGGAACUGAGACACGGUCCAGACUCCUACGGGAGGCAGCAGUGGGGAAUAUUGCACAAUGGGCGCAAGCCUGAUGCAGCCAUGCCGCGUGUGUGAAGAAGGCCUUCGGGUUGUAAAGCACUUUCAGCGGGGAGGAAGGCGGUGAGGUUAAUAACCUCACCGAUUGACGUUACCCGCAGAAGAAGCACCGGCUAACUCCGUGCCAGCAGCCGCGGUAAUACGGAGGGUGCAAGCGUUAAUCGGAAUUACUGGGCGUAAAGCGCACGCAGGCGGUCUGUCAAGUCGGAUGUGAAAUCCCCGGGCUCAACCUGGGAACUGCAUUCGAAACUGGCAGGCUAGAGUCUUGUAGAGGGGGGUAGAAUUCCAGGUGUAGCGGUGAAAUGCGUAGAGAUCUGGAGGAAUACCGGUGGCGAAGGCGGCCCCCUGGACAAAGACUGACGCUCAGGUGCGAAAGCGUGGGGAGCAAACAGGAUUAGAUACCCUGGUAGUCCACGCUGUAAACGAUGUCGAUUUGGAGGUUGUGCCCUUGAGGCGUGGCUUCCGGAGCUAACGCGUUAAAUCGACCGCCUGGGGAGUACGGCCGCAAGGUUAAAACUCAAAUGAAUUGACGGGGGCCCGCACAAGCGGUGGAGCAUGUGGUUUAAUUCGAUGCAACGCGAAGAACCUUACCUGGUCUUGACAUCCACAGAACUUAGCAGAGAUGCUUUGGUGCCUUCGGGAACUGUGAGACAGGUGCUGCAUGGCUGUCGUCAGCUCGUGUUGUGAAAUGUUGGGUUAAGUCCCGCAACGAGCGCAACCCUUAUCCUUUGUUGCCAGCGGUUAGGCCGGGAACUCAAAGGAGACUGCCAGUGAUAAACUGGAGGAAGGUGGGGAUGACGUCAAGUCAUCAUGGCCCUUACGACCAGGGCUACACACGUGCUACAAUGGCAUAUACAAAGAGAAGCGACCUCGCGAGAGCAAGCGGACCUCAUAAAGUAUGUCGUAGUCCGGAUUGGAGUCUGCAACUCGACUCCAUGAAGUCGGAAUCGCUAGUAAUCGUAGAUCAGAAUGCUACGGUGAAUACGUUCCCGGGCCUUGUACACACCGCCCGUCACACCAUGGGAGUGGGUUGCAAAAGAAGUAGGUAGCUUAACCUUCGGGAGGGCGCUUACCACUUUGUGAUUCAUGACUGGGGUGAAGUCGUAACAAGGUAACCGUAGGGGAACCUGCGGUUGGAUCACCUCCUUACCUUAAAGAA
rnacentral:rRNA from 1 species